rnacentral:tRNA from 1 species
UGCGGGAUGGAGCAAUGGUAGUCUCGUCAGGCUCUGAACCUGAAAAUCCUGGUUCGAGUCCAGGUCCCGCAG